CGCGGAAGUUACGUUCCUGAUAGUUUUCCUCUCGUUCCCUGUCGAUAAUUAAUCUUAGCUACUCUACAACUUUCAAAGGUGCUAGGAGCAUGCUAAUUAGCACAGGUGGUCCUUCUGUCUUCUGCAAACACGUGCAGUAACAUGGAGAUAUUGCUGUGUGGGAACCCUAAGCCUAGAAAGAUCCACCUACCACAUGGGCCUACAAUGGCUGAACCCAAGCCCAUGGAGUCCCCGGGUUCUGGCUGUGGUGUUCCAUCACAGAGAAGCUCACCGCAGGGUCCAGAGAUGGUGUCAGUGAAGCUGGAGGACUGCAGUCAACCACUGGAAGUCAAUGAGAUUGUGAUAGGGGAAGAGAGAGAACUUAAAGUAGAACUUAAAGAAGGAGAAGAGUCAAAGAGGAGAAGAAAGAGAGAGGAGUGAAAGAGGAAGCUGAGAUACAAGUCAAAGAAGAGGAGAACAGAGAAGUGUCUGCUCCAGAUCUAGACGUAGAGGAGCAAGAAGUAGAUAGUAUCACUGACCCAGAAGAGAUUUCCAACCCAGGUUCAGACAGUGAGCCCAGUUCCACAGCAUCAGGAAACCAUAAACAACACAGACAGAGGAACUCAAGACAGAAACAUCACCACUGCAUGGACUGCUUCACUAGUUUCUAUGAGCCAAAGGAGUUGAAGACACACUUGUAGGCCCCAACCCUGCUCAGACUGCAGAGACAGUUUUAUUUGUCCAAUUUACCUUAAAUCACCCCAACAGACUCUAAAAAGAAAGAAAACGUACCCCUGUGGUCAAUGGGGGAAUAGCAAACUAAAGAUGCACCAAGUAACUCAAAGGGAACGAGUUGCUCUUUUUGUGGGAAGAGUUUUCCCUCUUUUACAGACCUUAAAUAGAUACCAGCUGAGCCACACAGGAAAGAAGCCUUUUCACUGCUCACAGUGUGGGAAGGGUUUCUGAUGGUCAUAAAAUAUGAAUACACACUGGUUAAAGUAUCACAGGCCUGACACUGGACUGUUGCUUUAGAAGAAAGUCGACUUCAAACCACAGAAGUAAAACAUGCAAACACAUGUUAUUAUGUAAAUAGCAUUUACCAACCGCAACUGUUAUGUGAAAAUAGAGCAGGGGUUCUUGCGUUAACAUGAACACUACUUGUCAUCAGUACUCAGUAUUUACUUACCCUGUAUUAUCACUUCAAUUCUGGGCAACAUGUAAUAAUUUCUUUAGUAUCCGGUAAAAACUCUGGAUGUCUAACAAAUGAUGGCACAUGGUAAUUCAUAUGUUAGUACCACUGCUGCAAACAAAACAUCCACACACCAAUGCUAACGAUGCUAGUUAACUUUGCCAGCUUGCUCCAUCUAUGACUGGCCUGUCCUGACCCCUUUUUUUUAUAGAGUUUAACUAUUUAAUUAUGUAGCGUUUUGGUAGUGGCAGAAGGGAAGAAGUAUCAAUACUAUAUAAUUUGCAGCUGCCUUAUAUAUUUUUGAUUUAUUGGAAAGCCGUUGAGUUGCUGGCUCCAUACCUACAGUAUCUAACUGACGGCAGCACAAAUAUAACGUCACUUCCGUUUUAGAAACGCGGGCGGAAGUUUACGUUCCUGCUUCUUUUCGUCGCGUGUCCUUACUCAACCAAGCAACUGACGAAAAGGGCUAUUUUUAAAGAUCCACCUACCUUCUAACCUGCCAUGGCUGAACCCAAGUCCAUGGAGUCCCCAGGUUCUAGCUGUGGUGUUCCAUCACAUAGAAGCUCACAGCAGGGUCCAGAGAUGGUGUCAGUGAAGCUGGAGGACUGCAGUCAAACACUGGAACUUAAUGUGAUUGUCAAAGAGGAAGAAGAGGAGACAGAAAUCCAAGAAGAGGUGGAGGAGAGAGCAGUCAAAGAAGAAGA